rnacentral:rRNA from 1 species
UAAGGAAUAUUGGACAAUGGUCGCAAGACUGAUCCAGCCAUGCCGCGUGCAGGAAGACGGCCCUAUGGGUUGUAAACUGCUUUUGUACCAGAGAAAACCUAUCUACGUGUAGAUAGCUGAUAGUAUGGUAAGAAUAAGCAUCGGCUAACUUCGUGCCAGCAGCCGCGGUAAGACGAAGGAUGCAAGCGUUAUCCGGAUUCACUGGGUUUAAAGGGUGCGUAGGUGGGCAGAUAAGUCAGUGGUGAAAUCUUCCGGCUUAACCGGGAAACUGCCGUUGNUACUAUUUGUCUUGAAUAUUGCGGAGGUAAGCGGAAUAUGUCAUGUAGCGGUGAGAUGCUUAGAUAUGACAUAGAACACCAAUUGCGAAGGCAGCUUACUACACAAUCAUUGACACUGAGGCACGAAAGCGUGGGUAGCGAACA